rnacentral:rRNA from 1 species
GGGUUUGACAUAUAGGUUGUAGGGAACUGAAAGGGACCGACCCUUCGGGGAGCCUAUACAGGUGUUGCAUGGCUGUCGUCAGCUCGUGUCGUGAGAUGUUCGGUUAAGUCCGCUAACGAGCGCAACCCUCGUCGUAUGUUAUAUGUGUCAUACGAGACUGCCGGUAAAAGCCGGAGGAAGGUGAGGAUGAUGUCAAGUCAGCAUGACCUUUAUAUCCAGGGCUACACACACGCUACAAUGGUCUGUACAAUGGGUAGCCAAGCCGCGAGGCGGAGCCAAUCCUGAAAGCAGGCCUCAGUUCAGAUUGCAGUCUGCAACUCGACUGCAUGGAGCCGGAGUUGCUAGUAACCGCAGGUCAGCAAUACUGCGGUGAAUACGUUCCCGGGUCCUU